AUGUCGUUGCACCUUCACGCAUCGUCAUCAUCGCAUUUCUUGCAGCUUCAUCUCACACUCCAUCGUCUUCACAAAUCUUCAACAAUCAUCAUCAUUAACUUCAAUCUGCAACAAGCCGUAGUGACCGUUACCACAACGAACUCCAUUGCCUCAAAAAAUUCAACAAACACGGAUCCACUUAGAAACAUAAGAACAGAAGCGGGAUCAGAAGAAGAGUCGAAAGAAAUUCCAUAUCGCAGCAAGAUGCGAAUCGGGAGCCAUACGCAUACUUGA